rnacentral:lncRNA from 1 species
UUGAAGGCAAUGAUGCAGUUAAGAAAUGACGACAAAGCUAAGCUGGAUUACAUUGGAGAGGAUUAUUAUCAAGAUUCAGUAACAAUUUUCAACAAAGGGAUUGAAAUGUUCUACCAAAAAGUCUUGACAAUUCUUACUUGUCUCGACCUUUCCAACAAUAGUUUCCAUGGGAGAAUACCAGAAGAAAUACAAAUGCUGAGGUCACUCAAAGUGCUAAACUUGUCCUAUAAUAGCUUCUCCGGUGAAAUCCCGGUAGCACUUGGAAACCUAAAAGAUCUCGAGUCUUUGGAUCUCUCACAGAAUGAGCUGUCAGGGAAGAUUCCUCCACAACUUACAAGUUUAACUUUCUUAGCAGCAUUGAACUUGUCUUACAACCAACUUGAAGGGAGCAUACCACAAAGCAACCAAUUCAUUACAUUUUCAAAUGAUUCCUACCAUGGGAACCCAAAAUUGUGUGGGCUGCCACUGUCAAGGAAAUGCAAUGAAGUUGGUCUUCCAAUGCCACCACCUCCAAGGGGAGAUGAAGAAUCAUGGUUAUAUGCUAUGACUACUUGGAAAAUUGCGUUGAUGGGUUAUGCUAAUGGAUUGGUCGUUGGGCUAUGUAUCGGAUAUACAGGGCUGAAUGAGUUGGGAAACAAAUGGGUUGACAGGCUCAAAAAACACGGGGAAAGAAACAAAAGAAGAUCUAGGUGACUCCAUCAGGAUUCAUUUUUUUUCAAAAUCAGCGGUUAUGCAGUGCACCACCUUAUUUCUUUUUUAUCUGUGGACAAAGUUAACUAUCAUAUGGUAUUUGUACUUGUAGCUUGUAACAUUGACAUUCGUUUUUCAGUCUAUUCUAAUUUAAUGUUACCAUUUCGCAAUGCAGAAGGUACUUAAAACAGACAGGCUCAAGCAAAAAUUUUUGAUGAAAAUGGUAAAAGUGUCUAACAAAUAUGAGCAUAUUUUUCCUUAAAAUUGUCUUUUCCUUGACAUUGGCUUUAUAUUUUAUCAAACACGUGUUGGGCUUUAGGUCCGGGUGUAAAGGGUGGACCUAUUAGUUCGGGUUUUAGUGCAGUUCGACACUUGUUUUCAUACUAGUCAAUUUGUUCUUUUAAUGAUAGUUUUAUUUCUUUAAAAAAUAUCAUUCAAUUAGACCUUGUAUGUAAUAAUAUGAUAAAAUAAUAAUUAAAACAUAAUGAAAGAAAUAAGUCUUAGAAUCUGGUAUGCUUGCCAAUGUUAGCCAAAGGCCAACAAUAUCUCAUACUAUUUUUUUUUUUGUUAGUCCAAAAUUAAAAAUUUAUUUACAGUUCAAGGAUUUAAUUAAAAUUUUUAAAAGUUUAGACCCAUAGUUUAGGGACAUCAAAUGAAUUAACCCUUUGGUAAAUCUUAACAUAUUUGUGGACUAAAAAAUACGCAUAGUUAAUUUAUUCUUUUGGGGUGCUAUACUUAAAGUUUAAUUAAAAGAUAUUGUUAAUGGUGCAUUUUUAUAUUUAAAAAUAAUAAAUUAUAUAGAAACAAUUAUGAUAUAAAAUGGAUCAUAAUUUGCGAUAGAUUAGUCCGAAUCUAAAAUAUUUUUCAGCAUCAAAUAAAAGGGAAAAAAUUCCAAACCCAAAUAUUGCUAUAAUUUUAUUCCUACUUCAUUUGCUAAUUUGAGCAAUUUGGUCCGCAGGGACAACAGGCUUUUUGGUUCCAUUCCUGAAGAAGUAGGAAGCUUGAAAUUAUUGAUUUUUCUAGAGCUGACUCAAUGGUUGUAUUCCUACUUCAUUUGCUAAUUUGAGCAAUUUGGUCCUCAGGACAACAGGCUUUUUGGUCCCAUUCCUGAAGAAUUAAGAAGCUUGAAAUUAUUGAUUUUUCUAGAGUUGACUCAAUGGUUGUAUUCCUACUUCAUUUGCUAAUUUGAGUCCCGUCCCAUACCUCAAGAAAUAGCUAACUUUGUGAAAAUAUGGAUGUUGAAUCUACUUGGGAAUAGCUUCAGUGGAACCUGUAAUUGCCCAAUAAUAAACCAGUAUAAAAAUAAAAAUAUAUAACAUGAGCCCAUUUUUGAAUGUCCAUUUACAAACAACGGACCCAAUAGCCCAAACUAACCUAAACCUAAUGGCCCAAUGGCCCAGCACCUAAAGACAGUUAACAGAAACCCUAGCAGCAAGCAAACCCCAGCGCCGCAGCAGCCCCAACUCCUCCGCGUAUGCUGCGCCACGUCCACCACCUCCGUACGCCAGCUGGCCUCCGUACCUGCAAAGAAGACGAAGACAGCACAACAAAACAACAACAAUAGGCCAGCAUAAGAAAAAACAAAGGAAAUAAUAGAAAAAAAUAAAAAAGGAUAAAUGAUUUUUGUAAUAUUCGGCAAUAUAAAAGCCGAUUGAUUCACUUUUGUAAAUUUUUACACACAAUAUCAAUACACAAAAAGAAUCAAAAGCAAAUUAUUUUGAGUUUUUGAAGGUGAUUCUCCGAUUUCCUUUUUUUUUCUUCUUCUUUUAUUUCUUUGAAUUUUUUUUUCUAUUAUGAACAAAAAAAUAAUAAUAGAUUGAUUUUUAAAAGAGUAAUGGCAGAUUUCAUUUUCUGAUAUAAUGCAAAUCAUUUUUGCUCCCCUACGAAAUCCAAAAAGAGAGAAAGUGAGAGGAUCUCACCAUUGUAGGCGUCGUCGGAGUUCCCAUUCAUUCCGUCUAAAUCAGAGUCGAAGGGGUUCGAACGAUGAAGAGAGACAUAGGUUUUGCGGCCUGAGUUUUGAAAAUGGUGGGGGGUUUCAGGGUUUGAAGUGGUCUUUAUAUUGUCUAAAAAACGACGUCGUUUAAGCCCGGUUCCAAUGGCUCCAAAACGACGCCGUUUGGUGGUUUAUGGUUAGCACGGUGACCCGACUCGGGGAGGAUCCGCGCAUUUUUGUUGUGUGGUCUAUUUGCGCCUUCGAUCACUCCAUUUUACUCCAUCUUUUUAAUUUCAUUUUUGUUUUUCUGUGAAUUUCCCGCAUGAAUUUUGAAUUUGUUUCAAUUCAGUCUUGAUCUAAACGCCGCGUUUUCAGGGAAGGGAGUAUUUCCCGCUUGGUCCCCCAAUUAAUUCGUGCAUUAUAUUUUGGCCCUCUGUUUUGUUUUAUUCUCAUUUUUUCCUUUUAAUUUUGUUUAAAACUCAAUUUAAUCCUCUUUGUUAUUUGUUAUUUUUUAUUAAUUAGUUUAAUCUUCUUUAUUAUUAUUAUCAUUGUCGCCACUAGCCUUAUUGGUAUUGUAAUUAUGUUAUUUAUAUUUUAUUUAUCUAUUUAUAUAUAUAUAUAUAUAUAUAUAUGUAUGUAUUACUUUACGUACUACACUUUAAUUUUUUUUUUCAUAUAUAUUACAAUCAUAUAUAUUAGCAUUAAAUUUCAUUAUGUAUUAUUUUUAAAUUAAAAUAUACUAUUAGCAUCAUAAAUUUUUAUGUAUUAUUAGCUUAAAUUUAUUAUAUAUUUAUUUUUAAAUUCAUUAUGUAUUAUUAUUUUAGAUUUAUUAGGCAUUAUUUUAAAAGAAAAAUAUUAUGUAUUGUAUAUAUAUAUAUUGUUCAUUUUAAGACUUUGGCAUAUAUAAUUUAUUGAUUGUGAUUUCCUUUGUUGCCACUGUUUUCUUAGUAUACAUUUUAAAAUCGAUUAUUAAUUCAUUUGAUGUUUAAUUGGUAAUAUUGAUGUUUGCAUAAUAGGAUUAAAAUUAUUGUUGCUAUUCUUGUUAACAUUUAUCUAUUGCUUGGUCAUUAUUUUUUUAGUGUGUGUUCGGAUUGCCAAUUAUCUCAUACUUUACCAUUCAAUCGUGCUACAUUAAAGAUUACGUUUGAUAUCAUUCAAGUAUCGAGAGCAUUUUUAUUCAAAAAGUUUUUCAUAAAUAAUGCGACACUCGGAGUCUGGGAUCCUCGAAAAGAUUGUGUCCUAACUUACUAGAUUCCAAUCUUCCUCGUUGAAUCUAAGAAACCGAGUAUCCUUUUUAAUUAACACACAAAUAAAAAGCUCAUUCUCGGGAAUUCGAUACGUUGUAUCCUAACGCAUUGGAUAUGACAUGUUAUUUUCUCGAGACGAGGAUUCUUCUAACAAAUGAAAAUAAAAGCAAUAUUCGAUAUUUAGGAAUUUUGUGAAAUCGAACCCUAACUUACUGGGUUUUGAUUUUCUCAUUUGACCCAAAUAAUUAGAUAUCCUUCUCAAAAUGCAUAGGUUUUAAAAGUCAAAAGAUAAACUUAAUUUUGAGGAUUUAAAAUGUUGCACUCUAACUUACUGAGUAUGACAAUUUAUUUCUUUGAAAUAAGCGAGUCUCGUCAUCCACUUCAUUUUAUUCAAAUUUUCUUUUCAAAGGAUCGUAUUUUAAAAUCUCUUCAAAUUCUUGACACCAAGACGUUAAACAAUCAAUUCGGUACCAAUUUUGGGCGUUACGAGGGUGCUAACCCUUCCUCGUGCGUAACCGACUCCCGAACCUAUUUUCUCAAAAUUCGUAGACCUAAAAUCGUUUUUAAGGUGAUUCGAUCGCACCUCAAAGAUCGGUGACGACUCCAAUUUUUAUUUUUAAUAAGUCGACAACUAAAUUUUUGUUUACAAAAAGUGGUUUCGACAGAACCUUACCAAAAUUUUCCCAACUACGGUUAGUCAAAGUUAGAAGGGGAAUUACCAAGAUCAUGGGUGAAAUGCAUUCAUCUUAGAACUUAUACGUGUUGGUUGUUAAACCUCAAUAAACCAGCAAAUACCAUAAUUUUUGUUCUUAUCGUCCAUUGCAGCACCUACGGGUUUCUUCAUCUUUAAUUCUGCUAAAGAAGACGGGAUUUUUAUAGCUUCAAUUGUUUUAUCAAACCCAUAGUCCUCAUCUUUUACAAUCUUCUUCACCACUCUCCCUAGUUCCUUCUUUUUAACUUUGUUUCUUCCCUUGUUUCUACUGACUCCUUUUUUUCAGCCGUUGAAACAAUAUGGUAGCUUCUUUAGGAACAGAAAGGAACAAGAUUUUGAUACCCAAUGAAGAGAAACAAAGAUGAAAUCUUUCUAAGAAGACUAUGAAAAAGAAAAAGCUUGAAAAAGGAGUCUGAUCUAAUGCAUUUUCUUGUACUUCCUUUCUAGGAUUCUAACUAGGAAGAGAGAAGAAAAAUAAGUAAAUGAAAAAUGGGAGUGAAUUUCAUUUUCAUAAAAAAUAGUAUUCGUAUAUAAAAUCGGGUAUUUUACUAAAAAAACCCAUUUCAAACUAAAAUAAAUUAAUUAAAAGCAUAAAUUUUUAAUUUUUCACCAUAAAUAUUUCAUCUUUUAGGCCGCAAAAUAUGUUUAGCUUUUAUUGCAUUAUAUUUUAUAUAAUUUAAAAAAAAAUUCUAAUUUAUUGUUUGCUUGGAACCCAAAAAUAUUAAGAACUGGCUCAGAAAUUAGUAGAACAUAAUUAAAUAAUGACCGGACAAUAGGAGUCAUUUGCAAUUAUACAUGCCAAGACUAAGUCAAAAACUCCAUUUGAUAAAAACCCAUGCAUACUAUAGUUUCUUUGUUAGUCCUACAGAGAAAAUAUAUAAUUUCCUAAUUAGAAAAUAAAUCUAUGAGCUUUGCCUCUAAAUACAUUAUGUUGUUAUACACUCAAUGUUGAGCUUUGCGGAGCUUUGAAGGGAUUUCAAAUUACUUAGAGAAUAGGUUUUCAAUGGAUUGUGCUUGAGGUGAAUAAUAUGACUACAAUCUAAUUAAUUCAAGAUGAUUAGUUGAGUUCUACCAUUCAGCUGUGUUACGAAUUAUAAAGAAAUUAUUCAACAUCUUUGGAUGAUUAGGGUGAUACAUGUAUUCAAAUAGGGUAAUUGAGUAGUCGAUGGACCGAAAGCAAUGAUAUUUUCAAGGCCUAUUUGCAAUUUGAGUCAACUUAUAUAUUUCAAUGCAUCUCAUAACAAUUUGAGUGGCUCAAUUCCAAAUUGCUUGAACAAUAUGAGUCAAAUUUACACUUUCGAUGUAUCUUAUAACAAUUUGAGUGGCCCAAUUCCAAAUUGCUUGGGCAAUAUGAGUGCUCUGAGUUGGUUGGGUUUGCAAGGAAAUAACUUCAGGGGAAUGAUGCCAAAAUUUUCAAAAACAACCCAACUGCGCUUUCUGAAAGUUAGUGAGAAUAGAUUGGAAGGGAAGUUGCCCAGAUCAUUAGCUGAAUGCACUCAGCUUGAAGUUUUGGACGUGCGAAACAGCAAGAUGAAUGAUACAUUCCCUUUUUGGUUGGAGAAAUUGCCUUACUUGACGGUUCUAAUAUUGCGGGAAAACAGAUUUUAUGGUCAAAUUAAACAUAGAUUUGUUUUCCCAACUUUGGGUGUGUUGGACAUUGCUUCAGACCAAUUUUCUGGUGAACUAUCCAUUGAUUUCCUUCAAGCCACUCGACUAAGGUCACUCAAAAUAGGUGGGAAUAAAUUAGAAGGGCAGUUGUCGAGAUCAUUAGCCAAUUGUAAAGCACUUGAGGUUCUGGACCUUGGAAAUAAUAUGGUUCAUGAUACAUUCCCAUUUUGGUUAGAGAAGCUGCCUUCCUUGAAGGUUCUCAUUUUGCGAGCAAACAGAUUCUACGGUACAAUUACAAAAUUCAACACAGAACAUGGGUUUCCAAAGCUACGCAUAUUGGACAUUGCUUCCAACAAUUUUUCUGGCGACUUGUCCAUUGAAUUUUUGCAAAGCUUGAAGGCAAUGAUGCAGUUAACAAAUGACGACAAAGCUAAGCUGGAUUACAUUGGAGAGAAUUAUUAUCAAGAUUCAGUGACAAUUUUCAACAAAGGGAUUGAGCUGUUUUACGAGAAAAUCUUAACCACUCUUACUUGUCUUGACCUUUCCAACAAUAGUUUCCAUGGGAGAAUACCAGAAGAAAUACAAAUGCUGAGGUCACUCAAAGUGCUAAACUUGUCCUAUAAUAGCUUCUCCG